GAUCAGAAGGGAGCAGACAGUCAGACCAGACAGGUUGACCUCUCCUGGAUCCUCCAGCCAUGCGGCUCCUCUGGGGGCUGGCUUGGGUGUUCAGCUUCUGUGCCUCAUCCCUGCAGAAGCCCAGGUUGCUCCUGUUUUCCCCUUCUGUGGUUAAUUUGGGGACUCCCCUGUCNNNNNGAGGAGAGAUGGAGGAGGCAGAACUCACGUCCUGGCGCUUUGUAUCAUCUGCCUUUUCCUUGGAUCUCAGCCGCACUAAGCGGCAUCUCGUGCCUGGAGCCCACUUCCUGCUGCAGGCCUUGGUCAGAGAAAUAUCAGGCUCUGAAGCCUCUAACGUUAUUGUCAAAGUUUCUCCCACAUUGGUGUCAGGCUCUGAUUCCCAAGUCCUCAACGUUCAACAGAGCACCAAUAGAAUUGGCCAAGUCAGCAUUUCCUUCCCCAUCCCACCAACCGUCACAGGACUUCGGCUCUUGGUGUCUGCGGGCUCCCUCUACCCAAUGAUAGCCAGGCUCACCGUGCAAUCCCCACCUUCAAGAGGCACUGGCUUUCUUUCUAUUGAGCCACUAGACCCUCGGUCCCCUCGUGUGGGGGACACCUUUAUCCUAAACUUACAAGCUGUGGGCAUCCCUGCACCUACCUUCUCUCAUUACUACUACAUGAUCAUCUCCAGAGGCCAGAUCAUGGCUAUGAGUCGGGAGGCCCGGAGGACCGUGACCUCUGUCUCCGUGUUGGUGGACCAUCAGCUGGCUCCUUCAUUCUACUUCGUGGCUUACUUCUAUCACCAAGGACACCCGGUGGCCAACUCUCUGCUCAUCAACAUCCAGCCCAGGGACUGUGAGGGCAAGCUGCAAUUGAAGGUAGUUGGUGCCAAGGAGUAUCAUAAUGGGGACAUGAUGAAGCUCCGAAUUCAAACUGACUCCAAAGCCCUGGUGGCACUGGGAGCUGUGGACACCGCUCUGUAUGCUGUGGGCGGUUGGUCUCACAAACCCCUCGACAUGAGCAAGGUCUUUGAAGUAAUCAACAGCUACAAUGUUGGCUGUGGUCCUGGAGGUGGGGAUGAUGCCCUUCAGGUGUUCCAGGAUGCUGGUCUGGCCUUUUCUGAUGGUGAUCGACUAACUCAAACCAGAGAGGAAGUCGGCAAAAGAGAAAUGUUAACUUCCUGAAGGCUCUUAGUGAGAAGUUGGGCCAGUAUUCUUCUCCAGAUGCCAAGCGCUGCUGCCAAGACGGGAUGACGAAGCUGCCCAUGAAGCGUACCUGUGAGCAGCGGGCUGCCCGUGUGCCUCAGCAGGCCUGCCGUGAGCCCUUCUUGUCCUGUUGCAAGUUUGCUGAGGACCUUCGCAGGAACCAGACCAGGAGCCAGGCACCCCUUGCCCGAAAGGUCCGGGACAUGGUGAAUUUGAUAGAGGAAGAUGACAUUCUUGUGCGCACCUCCUUCCCAGAGAACUGGCUCUGGAGAGUGGAACCUGUAGACAGCUCCAAACUGUUGACAGUGCGGCUUCCUGAUUCUAUGACCACAUGGGAGAUUCAUGGUGUGAGCCUGUCCAAAAGCAAAGGUCUGUGUGUAGCCAAGCCAACUCGUGUUCGAGUGUUCAGAAAAUUCCACCUUCACCUGCGCCUGCCCAUCUCCGUCCGCCGCUUUGAGCAGCUUGAAUUACGGCCUGUUCUCUACAACUAUCUGAAUGAUGACAAGAACAAGGAAGGAGCCAUCCACAGAGAAGAGAUAGUCUACAACCUCGACCCCCUAAAUAACCUAGGUCAGAUGUUGGAGAUACCUGGCAGCUCGGAUCCCAACAUAGUCCCUGAAGGAGACUUCAGCACCUUUGUCAAGGUUACAGCCUCUGAACCCUUGGAGACUCUGGGCUCUGAAGAAGCUUUGUCCCCAGGAGGCGUGGCCUCCCUCCUGAGGCUUCCCGGAGCUGCGCAGAGCAAACCAUGAUCUAUUUGGCUCCUACCCUGACUGCUUCCAACUACCUGGACAGGACAAAACAGUGGAGCAAACUGUCCCCUGAGACCAAGGACCAUGCUGUGCAUCUGAUCCAGAAAGGCCACGUUCGGAUCCAGCAGUUUCGGAAGAAAGAUGGCUCUUUUGGGGCUUGGUUACACCGGGACAGCAGCACCUGGCUGACUGCCUUCGUGCUGAAGAUUCUGAGUUUGGCCCAGGAACAGGUGGGCAACUCCCCGGAGAAGCUGCAGGAGACGGCUAGCUGGCUGCUGGCCCAGCAGCUGGGUGAUGGCUCCUUCCACGACCCAUGUCCAGUCAUCCACAGAGCAAUGCAGGGGGGCUUGGUGGGGUCUGACGAGACAGUGGCACUGACCGCCUUUGUGGUCAUUGCCCUUCACCAUGGGUUGGACGUCUUCCAGGAUGACGAUGCGAAGCAGCUGAAGAACAGAGUGGAAGCCUCCAUCACCAAGGCAAACUCAUUCUUGGGGCAGAAGGCAAGUGCUGGGCUCCUGGGUGCCCAUGCCGCCGCCAUCACAGCCUAUGCCCUUACGCUGACCAAGGCCUCGGAGGACCUGCGGAAUGUUGCCCACAACAGCCUGAUGGCCAUGGCUGAGGAAACAGGGGAACACCUCUACUGGGGCUUAGUCCUUGGCUCUCAGGACAAAGUUGUGUUGCGCCCCACAGCCCCCCGUAGCCCUACAGAACCUGUGCCCCAGGCCCCAGCCUUGUGGAUCGAAACCACAGCCUAUGCCCUGCUCCACCUGCUUCUGCGGGAGGGAAAGGGAAAAAUGGCUGACAAGGCUGCAUCCUGGCUCACCCACCAGGGAAGCUUCCAUGGGGCAUUCCGCAGUACCCAGGACACUGUGGUCACCCUGGAUGCCCUGUCUGCCUACUGGAUCGCUUCGCACACCACUGAGGAGAAAGCACUGAACGUGACGCUCAGCUCCAUGGGCCGCAAUGGGCUUAAGACCCACGGGCUACACUUGAACAACCACCAAGUCAAGGGCCUGGAGGAGGAGCUAAAGUUCUCCCUGGGCAGCACAAUCAGUGUCAAGGUGGAAGGAAACAGCAAAGGCACCUUGAAGAUCCUUCGUACCUACAAUGUCCUGGACAUGAAGAACACCACAUGCCAGGACCUUCAGAUAGAAGUGAAGGUCACAGGCGCUGUGGAAUACGCAUGGGAUGCCAAUGAAGACUACGAAGACUACUAUGACAUGCCAGCCGCAGAUGACCCCAGCGUCCCCUUGCAGCCUGUCACGCCCCUGCAGCUUUUUGAGGGUCGUAGGAGCCGCCGCAGGAGGGAGGCCCCCAAGGUGGUCGAAGAGCAGGAGUCCAGAGUUCAGUACACUGUGUGUAUCUGGCGAAAUGGCAAGCUGGGGCUGUCUGGCAUGGCCAUCGCAGACAUCACCCUCCUAAGUGGAUUCCACGCCCUGAGGGCUGACCUGGAGAAGCUGACCUCUCUCUCUGACCGUUACGUGAGUCACUUUGAGACUGACGGGCCCCAUGUCCUGUUGUACUUUGACUCGGUCCCUACCACCCGGGAGUGUGUGGGCUUUGGAGCCUCACAGGAGGUGGUUGUGGGACUGGUGCAGCCAGCCAGCGCUGUCCUGUAUGACUACUACAGCCCUGAUCACAAGUGCUCUGUGUUUUAUGCUGCACCCACCAAGAGCCAGCUCCUGGCCACACUGUGCUCUGGAGAUGUAUGCCAGUGCGCUGAGGGGAAGUGCCCUCGACUGCUAAGGUCACUGGAGCGAAGGGUGGAGGACAAGGACGGCUACCGGAUGAGGUUCGCCUGCUAUUAUCACCAAGUGGAGUAUGGCUUCACGGUUAAGGUUCUUCGAGAAGAUGGCAGAGCUGCCUUCCGUCUCUUUGAGUCCAAGAUCACCCAAGUCCUGCAUUUCAGAACGGACACCAUGGCCUCCAUAGGUCAGACCCGCAACUUCCUGAGCCGGACCUCUUGCCGCCUUCGUUUGGAGCCUAACAAAGAGUACUUGAUCAUGGGGAUGGACGGGGAAACCAGUGACAACAAGGGAGACCCCCAGUACUUGCUGGACUCAAAUACCUGGAUUGAGGAGAUGCCUUCAGAACAAAUGUGCAAGAGCACCCGCCAUCGGGCAGCCUGUUUCCAGCUCAAAGACUUCCUGAUGGAGUUCAGCAGCCGGGGGUGCCAGGUGUGAGGCCUUAGGACUCUGGCUCUCUGAGCUCAGCUCAGGGUUAGGGCCUCACUGGAUUAGAGGCUCUGCUCUACAGGGUAAAUAAAAGAAAAGCUUUUUGACAGCC
ensembl:processed_transcript